GUGACUUCAUGUUGAAGGUGCCAAGAACAACUUCAGCUCUCCAGUCUCUGAGGAAAUGUUUGUUUUUGUACUUACACCUCUCAUUGAACCUCACGUUCCUCUUCGUCCUGCUAACACCAUUACCAAGGUCCCUUCAGAGAAGAUCCUCAGAGCUGGAAAAAUUUUACGAAAUGCCAUUCUCUCUCGAGCACCUCACAUGAUAAGAGAUAGAAAAUACCACCUAAAGACAUACAGACAAUGCUGUGUGGGAACUGAGCUGGUGGACUGGAUGAUGCAGCAGACACCAUGUGUUCACUCCCGGACUCAAGCUGUUGGCAUGUGGCAAGUCCUGUUAGAAGAUGGUGUUCUCAACCACGUGGACCAGGAGCACCAUUUCCAAGACAAAUAUUUAUUCUAUCGAUUUCUGGAUGACGAGCACGAGGAUGCCCCUUUGCCUACUGAGGAGGAGAAGAAGGAGUGUGAUGAGGAGCUCCAGGACACCAUGCUGCUACUG
rnacentral:sRNA from 1 species